CUUCUGCCUUCAGCUUUGGACCUUCAGCCCCAUGUUACAGCUGCCUUUGAAGCUUCAUUAAUGCUAAACCCAAAUGCAGGCAAGAUGGGCAGAACAAGAGAAUCAGGGUUUUUAUUUUUAUUUUUUCCCCAUAACAUGCCAUUCAUUGUGUAUCAUGUUGGCAUCAUGUUGAAGAGUAAUGAGGAUAUAAUUAUGGACUCAGGCAAGUUGGAUGAACAAGUAUUCAAUCUCUGAGGAUGCAGCCAUCUUCAAACAGGCUUGAGAUCUCUUCUGUGAGAUAUGUGCAUGGAGACAGAAAGACGCUUACGUGGCCACCGAGGACAAUGAAGUAGACGGCUUGAGAAGUAUGGCAUUUCAGGUAUUGGUUAGAAACCCAUUUAAGCAAGCAAAAUCAGUUGUUUAGCCGACUCUUGAAUUUGAGAACAAAAGGGUAGAUCAUCUGACAUCACAAAUAUUCAUGGUCCACCGACAAGAAACCUUGUUUGAAGGAUCAAACCCUUGUGUUUCUUUGUAUUUAUGAUCCGUUUGGUAACUAAUGUGAGGUGGGA